GAUAUAAGGGUUUUAUAUUGUGAAUCAAUGUCCAAUAUAUUUGAUCUUUCUUGAAUUUAUGCUCCUUCGAAGAGCAAUAAAGGUUUUAAUACGUCAAUGUUGUAACGUUCCUGAUUAUAGUUAUGUACAAACUCAUUGCAUUUCUUACUGCCUUUAAAAGCAUUUAUGUGAGGUGGGGUUCGUGGUAGGUUAUGGAUAUACAUCCAUGGAUGUUUUGAAAUUUUCAUCAGCUGCUCUUGUCAUUGUUAUAACGAUCACUGUUUUGUCACUACAAUCAUGGUGACAACAAUCAGGAUAUCGGGUGUCAUGACGAAAAUUGUCUUAAUAAUCAGAUAGCCACAUUUUCUACCGUUGUUUCAUAUUUUAACAAUGAAACAGUAUUCUUCUCUGAUUGGAACCUUUAUGUGCCAGUAAAUUCCUGAUUUUGCUGGCUAGGAUGGGAGGAUAUUAAUGUUUCCCUUCCUUUUGGCCCAUUUUAUGCUUUAUUUUACACUCCUGAAAAUUCAAACUCAAGUUUUGUGUUGAAAAGAGGGUAAUACUUUGGGCCUUUUUGUGUUUCUGCAACUUUGAAUUCUGAGAAGUGUUUUCCUGUAUUCGAUGGAGGAUAGCACUACUCUGUGAGUUGAUGAAACUUCUCUGUGAUAAGUGAUACUAUGGGCAUGCCAUCUAUCUUUAUGCCUGGAAGAGAUUAGUUGACAACGUGAAAAAGAUGGGUGCCUCAACUGUUGGUCCCAUUAAUCAUUUGCCUUGAUGUAUCUUUAGAAAAUUCUUCUCUGUCUCCUCGUUACUGCAAAACUGCUAUACAGGGAGGCAUUAAAGGUGGCAAUUCUAGCUUUUGUAUCUCAUCUACUACUUCAUUAUGGGAAAGGAGUUGAUUGCAAAGCUGAAAAGUAUUAACCAUUGAUGAAGGAAAUAAUACCGAUUAGGCCUGCAACCUGACCAAAUUGGAUUGUGUUUGGGCCCGUCCCGACACCCAAGGCAACACGAAAACCCGACCUGACCUGAGUCGGGUCAACUUGUUUGAUAUCGACCAAUCUCCAGAAAUGUCUUUUGAAGCCCCUCCGAACCCACAACCUAUACAUGGGUUUCUUCUUCAAUUGCUAUAAAUUCUCUCAAAGCCUCCAAAUCGUUCUCUGCGCAGCCUACUCCGGACUACUAGGGUUUCGAAAGCAAGGGUGAGAAGGAACUUAGACACGGAAUCACCAUGAGGGCCAAGUGGAAGAAGAAGCACAUGAGGCGGUUGAAGAGGAAGUGCUGAAAGAUGAGGCAGAGAUCCAAGUAGUUCUCUUACCAAUAAAUCGACGUUGUUUUGUGUCUAAUCGGUUUCUGAUUAGAGAGUCGUAGUGUUUUCCAUUUUUAUGUUUGGAUUUAAUAUCUAAAAGGUUGGAGUUUUGUGCUGUUGAA